rnacentral:rRNA from 1 species
UUCCGGUUGAUCCCGCCGGACCUGACUGCUAUCGGAUUAAUACUAAGCCAUGCGAGUUUUUGUAGUAAUACAAGGCAUACGGCUCAGUAACACGUAGUCAACCUACCCUAUGGACGAGGAUAAUCUCGGGAAACUGAGCAUAAUACUCGAUAGAUCAUAAUACCUGGAAUGGUUUAUGGUUGAAAUGAUUCGUUCGCCAUAGGAUGGGACUGCGGCCUAUCAGCUUGUUGGUGAGGUAAUGGCCCACCAAGGCGAUUACAGGUACGGGCUCUGAGAGGAGAAGCCCGGAGAUGGGUACUGAGACACGGACCCAGGCCCUAUGGGGCGCAGCAGGCGAGAAAACUUUGCAAUGUGCGAAAGCACGACAAGGUUAGUCCGAGUGAUUUCUGCUAAAGAAAUCUUUUGCCAGUUCUAAAACUACUAGUGAAUAAGGGGUGGGCAAGUUCUGGUGUCAGCCGCCGCGGUAAAACCAGCACCUCAAGUGGUCAGGAGGAUUAUUGGGCCUAAAGCAUCCGUAGCCUGCUUUGUUAGUUUUCGGUUAAAUCCAUGCGCUCAACGUAUGGGCUGCCGAAAAUACUGCACAGCUAGGGAGUGGGAGAGGUAGACGGUACUCGGUAGGAAGGGGUAAAAUCCUUUGAUCUAUCGAUGACCACCUGUGGCGAAGGCGGUCUACCAGAACACGUUCGACGGUGAGGGAUGAAAGCUGGGGGAGCAAACCGGAUUAGAUACCCGGGUAGUCCCAGCUGUAAACGAUGCAGACUCGAUGAUGCAUUGGCAUAUAGCCAGUGCAGUGUCGCAGGGAAGCCGUUAAGUCUGCCGCCUGGGAGGUACGUACGCAAGUAUGAAACUUAAAGGAAUUGGCGGGGGAGCACCACAAGGGGUGAAGCCUGCGGUUCAAUUGGAUUCAACGCCGGG